rnacentral:rRNA from 1 species
GAACGAGAAAGUGGAGCAAUCCAUGAGUAAAGUGGCGACCGGGUGAGUAACACGUGACUAACCUACCUUCGAGUGGGGGAUAACCUCGGGAAACCGAGGCUAAUACCGCAUAACAUCGCAAGAUCAAAGCAGCAAUGCGCUUGAAGAGGGGGUCGCGGCUGAUUAGCUAGUUGGCGGGGUAACGGCCCACCAAGGCGAAGAUCGGUAUCCGGCCUGAGAGGGCGCACGGACACACUGGAACUGAAACACGGUCCAGACUCCUACGGGAGGCAGCAGUGGGGAAUUUUGCGCAAUGGGGGAAACCCUGACGCAGCAACGCCGCGUGGAGGAUGAAGCCCCUUGGGGCGUAAACUCCUUUCGACCAAGACGAUAAUGACGGUACUGGUGGAAGAAGCACCGGCUAACUCUGUG